UACGGAGGGAGCUAGCGUUGUUCGGAAUUACUGGGCGUAAAGCGCACGUAGGCGGCUUUGUAAGUUAGAGGUGAAAGCCCGGAGCUCAACUCCGGAACUGCCUUUAAAACUGCAUCGCUUGAAUCCAGGAGAGGUGAGUGGAAUUCCGAGUGUAGAGGUGAAAUUCGUAGAUAUUCGGAAGAACACCAGUGGCGAAGGCGGCUCACUGGACUGGUAUUGA
rnacentral:rRNA from 1 species